ACUUAUCCCUUUAAUCAACUUCAUCAAUGGAGAGAGAGAAGGAGACGACAAAUAAAUAAAAAAGAAAGCUUUGAUUAACAGGUUAACAGACAUCCAAUUAGAAGAUUCAUUUGGGGUUUCGAUAAAAGUUGUGAUUCAUGGUUGAACGGCGAUGAACGGAAAAUAGAGAUCUAGCGCAGCGGCGGCGCACCACCAGAAACAGCUCUCCGAUAAUCUUCUUGACAUGUCUUCCUCCCAUGGAAGAUGGCUCUCAUCCACUGGUCUCCCAGACUCCCACACUUUCAGCCAUCACCCAGUUCGACGCGGUGCUCUUGUUCAAAAAAAAAAUCAAUGCGGUGGUCAAGUGACAAGAGGAUAUCAGAAUGCUCAGAGAGAGUUUAAUGGAGGAAAUGAGAUAGCUAGAUACGUUUGGUAUCAAUCUGUAGAAUACAGUGUUAGCUAGCUUCUUUCUGGGUUUACUUUCGUAGCUUCUGUUGCAGGCUUAUGGUGCUGUUUGGUGACAUGUCAAGAAGAGAAAGUCGUUUGUACUUUGCAUACUUUUCUAUUAGCGUAGCUCUCUCCCUGUAUUUUUAUUUGAUAUUUUCCUUAGUUGUGUUUUAUGAAUAUCUUACAAUCAUAUAGCUGUCAAAAAUAUUAGUGUUAAAUUAGUCUAGACGGCUAACAAAUA